rnacentral:rRNA from 1 species
AACGAACGCUGGCGGCGCGUCUUAACCAUGCAAGUCGAGCGGCAGGCAGCAAUGCCGAGAGCGGCGGACUGGGGAGUAACACGUGGAUAACGUACCCCGAUGUCCGGGACAGCCUGUAGAAAUAGAGGGUAAUACCGGAUAGAUCACUGUUUACGUGAGGUAGACAGCGGGAAAGGAGCUUCGGCUCCGCGACGGGAUCGGUCUGCGGCCCAUCAGCUGGACGGCGGGGUAAAGGCCCGCCGUGGCGAGGACGGGUAUCCGGCCUGAGAGGGGGGACGGACACAUUGGGACUGAGAUACGGCCCAGACUCCUACGGGAGGCAGCAGGUGAGAAUAUUCCGCAAUGGGGGGAACCCUGACGGAGCGACGCCGCGUGAACGAAGAAGGCCGGAAGGUUGUAAAGUUCUUUUCUGUCCGAGGAAUAAGUUUCGGAGGAAAUGCCGGGACGGUGACGGUAGGGCAGGAAUAAGCACCGGCUAAUUACGUG